GAUGAACGCUGGCGGCGUGCUUAACACAUGCAAGUCGAACGGAAAGGCUCCUGCUUGCAGGGGUACUCGAGUGGCGAACGGGUGAGUAACACGUGGGUGAUCUGCCCUGCACUUCGGGAUAAGCCUGGGAAACUGGGUCUAAUACCGGAUAGGACGAUGGUUUGGAUGCCAUUGUGGAAAGUUUUGUCGGUGUGGGAUGAGCUCGCGGCCUAUCAGCUUGUUGGUGGGGUAAUGGCCUACCAAGGCGUCGACGGGUAGCCGGCCUGAGAGGGUGUACGGCCACAUUGGGACUGAGAUACGGCCCAGACUCCUACGGGAGGCAGCAGUGGGGAAUAUUGCACAAUGGGCGCAAGCCUGAAGCAGCGACGCCGCGUGGGGGAUGACGGCCUUCGGGUUGUAAACUCCUUUCGCUAGGGACGAAGCGCAAGUGACGGUACCUGGAGAAGAAGCACCGGCUAACUACGUG
rnacentral:rRNA from 1 species